CUCUUCUCAGUGCUCUGAGAGAAACACAACUGCUCGAUGUUUGUCAGCCCUAAUUCAAGUGUUUCAGGGGCCAUGAAGGUUGAUCACAUCUGUAAUCCAGGGGGAAUCAAACUGAAGUUCAAUUGAAAUUACAGCGGCUACAUCUUAAUACUUCUUUUGUCUAACUGAUCCUAAAAUUCCUGCCAUGGAAAGUAGUAAGAGUUUUAAGCAGUAGUGUAAUAUUUGCUCUUAC
rnacentral:lncRNA from 1 species